AAGGAUCAUUAUUGAAUAAACAUAGUGAGGUUGUAGCUGGCUUUUUGGAGCAUGUGCACGCCUUGCUGUCUUUAUAAAUCCACCUGUGCACAUUCUGUAGUCUCGGGAGAUUAGCGUCGCUGACUGUUGAUGACGGGCUUUUGGCCCUUCGGAUGUUGAGGACUGCAACGCCAACAAGCGUGGGCUUUCCUUACAGGUCUGCAGGCAUCUCUCUCGGUGCUAUGUCUUUAUCACAAACAAUUGUAUGUUGUAGAAUGUAUUAAUGGGUCUUUGUGCCUAUAAACAACAAUACAACUUUCAGCAACGGAUCUCUUGGCUCUC
rnacentral:misc_RNA from 1 species